AUGCAGCCAAUUUUCUACACUGUCAUAUCUGCAUUGUGGCAACAGACAUUGUGUUCACAUUCUAUUUGCCACAUGAUUAUACAAUCCAAGUGGCAAACACGCAAAGUCGAUGUGCACAUUAGUUGCCGUCCAGUGCAGCUGGAUGCCGAAACUGCAUUGACUACCGAUUGCGGCAACUAUCAAAGUGUGGAAACUAUAACAAAUAAUUCAGAAAAAAUUAGAUAUCACAAUGAAAAAGCAUGUUUGUGGUUACUAUCAUAUAAAUUCAGCAAAAUUCAGUUUGCCACAUGGAAGAACGUGGGUGUGGCAACUAUCAUAGUCAUUCAAUAG
rnacentral:rRNA from 1 species